rnacentral:rRNA from 1 species
AUUGAACGCUGGCGGCAGGCUUAACACAUGCAAGUCGAACGGGUGGCGGGCGGGUGAGUAAUGCUUAGGCCUCUAUAUUCUAGAGGGGAAUAACUGCGGGCAACUGUAUCUAAUCCCGAGUACGCUAGGGUGAGCCCUAGUGGAAUUAGGUAGUUGGUGAGGUAAAGGCUCACCAAGCCGACGAUCUCUAGCUGGUCUGAGAGGAUGACCAGCAACACUGGGACGGAGACACGGCGCAGACUCCGACGUGAGGCAGCAUGGGGGAAUAUGGCGCAAGGGGGGCAACCGGACGAAGCCAGGCCGCGUGAAUGAAGAAGGCCUUCGGGGUGUAAAGUUCUUUAGGUAGCGAGGCGUUAUCUACAGAAGAAGCACCGGCUAACUCCGUGCCAGCAGCCGCGGUAAUUC